rnacentral:lncRNA from 13 species
CUGUGACGGUAUGAUUUGAUAUAGAGGUGAUGGGUGAUCUUAUGGGGACCUAUUGGUCAGGCAGCGACUGACUUCAGUUUAAUUCUUUGCAGGUCAAGAUUCUGAUUGUUUCCCAGAGAUUAGAGUGGCACGGAACACAGUAUGGAGAACUUCACCUGGGAAAAAACUGAAGAUGAACUGUUCUGUUGCUUUCUGUUCUAACUCACCAACACCAUCAUGGUGUAAGUUUGAUGAAUCAAACAUAUGCCUAACUGUCAACACAACAACUCUCAUUCAAACACAGUUGACAAAUUUGACAAACACUACAUGGAUCUCAUUUCUGACUUUCAAAAGCAUAUCCAGAGGUGAUGCUGGUCUAUACAGGUGUGAAUUACACACGGCUGUGGGUCAUUCUAUCAAUGUUAUCGUCUCAGACAGUACAGCGAGUCAGAGUGACAGCUUCCGGGAGUGGGUGUGGCCUUAUGUUUACUCCUCGGCUGGGAUUGUGGUGUUUGUCAUCGUGGUGAUAACCAUAUCCAUGCUCUCAAUGCGUGGUUGUAAAAGUGCCUGUCCGGCCAGGAAGUCAAGGAAAGAGGACCAAACAGAGAACCAGGUCAAACAGAUAUACACUACACAUCUAACUUUAAUUUAGUCCUGUAUUAGUACUAUUAGUACAGAUUCUGGAUGGUCUUUAAUGUGUUUACAGUAUGUAACAUGGUGGAGUCUUUUGGUGCACUCCUUGUCUGUCAGUCCCAGGUGUUGUGUCUCUGACUGAUGCAAUUAUAUGACAGGCUAUUUUAUCAAAUCGAUUACCUAACGUUUGAUUACGUGAUUGAAUUAAACCAUGCAACAAUUAACUCGUUAAUAACCUGGGGCACCACGGAAGAGUGUUUAUAGAGUUGCUCUUUUCCGAAUAAACUCUUAAAGAUCUGAAGAUCUUUUAUAAUCAAUAGCAGUCAAUUAUUAAUCAUCACCUUAUUUAGUCUCAUCUGAACGUCGUAAAAUUCUUGAUUAUCUGCACGAACCCUGGCUAACAAGUUGAAUCAGCAAUACAAAAUUUGGCUUAAUUAUUUAUUUACUAAAUACCUAAAUAAUCACACAGAAUUACAUAUACACAGGAUAGAUCAUACAUUGAUUACUAAUCAUGUCAUAAAAGCAAAAGUCCCUAGCGGAUGAAACCGAUAUGACGGCUGGUUACCCAAAGAAAGGGGGUUGGGUUUGAAUGAAAGAGCGGGAUAACUGAGGGACAAAGGGGAUUGGGUCUCUAUCGGACCUUGAGAAGCCAUGCUACCGUAAAUAUAGAAUCUUAUGCAUUCUAAUAAUCAUCCAUUCGGAAAUUGAAAAUGCAAGAUAUAUAUUUACACUGAGCUGCGCUUCGAUAGAUGGUUUGAAGAUGGAAGACUGGUUUGCCCAGCAGAUAUCUCCAUUGUCCUUUGAAGAAUCUUUCUGGUUGUAGUGUUGUAGAGCGGAUACGUUGAAGUAGCCUGUCGUUCUCAGGAGAUCGUCUGUCCUUUGAAGAAUCUUUCUG